rnacentral:rRNA from 1 species
UACGGAGGGUGCAAGCGUUGUCCGGAAUCACUGGGCGUAAAGGGCGCGUAGGCGGCUCAUGAAGGCUGUGGUGAAAGUCCGGGGCUCAACCUCGGAUCGGCCGUGGCGACUCGUGGGCUGGAGCACUGUAGAGGCGGGUGGAAUUCCGGGUGUAGCGGUGGAAUGCGUAGAGAUCCGGAAGAACACCAGUGGCGAAGGCGGCCCGCUGGGCAGUGGCUGACGCUGAGGCGCGACAGCGUGGGGAGCAA